rnacentral:rRNA from 1 species
UACGUAGGGUGCAAGCGUUGUCCGGAAUUAUUGGGCGUAAAGAGCUCGUAGGCGGUCUGUCGCGUCGGAUGUGAAAAUCCAGGGCUCAACCCUGGACCUGCAUUCGAUACGGGCAGACUAGAGUUCGGCAGGGGAGACUGGAAUUCCUGGUGUAGCGGUGAAAUGCGCAGAUAUCAGGAGGAACACCGGUGGCGAAGGCGGGUCUCUGGGCCGGUAUUGACGCUGAGGCGCGAAAGCCAGGGGAGCAAACGGG